CAGGGGCGGUUCUAAACCCUUUUUAGGUGGGUUUCAGCCCCCCUAUCUGUCACCUUAGCCCCCCAAAAAUAUCUUAACGAUCAGGCUAGUGUUGCUUCCUCAAGAAAGUUUUUCAUUCUCACGUGUUUUAACUGUCAAGACUUAA